rnacentral:rRNA from 1 species
GUGGGGAAUAUUGGACAAUGGGCGCAAGCCUGAUCCAGCCAUGCCGCGUGAGUGAUGAAGGCCUUAGGGUUGUAAAGCUCUUUCAGUGGGGACGAUAAUGACGGUACCCACAGAAGAAGCCCCGGCUAACUUCGUGCCAGCAGCCGCGGUAAUACGAAGGGGGCUAGCGUUGUUCGGAUUUACUGGGCGUAAAGCGCACGUAGGCGGAUCGUUAAGUCGGGGGUGAAAUCCUGGAGCUCAACUCCAAAACUGCCUUCGAUACUGGCGAUCUUGAGUCCGGAAGAGGUGAGUGGAACUCCUAGUGUAGAGGUGGAAUUCGUAGAUAUUAGGAAGAACACCAGUGGCGAAGGCGGCUCACUGGUCCGGUACUGACGCUGAGGUGCGAAAGCGUGGGGAGCAAACAGGAUUAGAUACCCUAGUAGUCC